GAUGAACGCUGGCGGCGUGCCUAAUACAUGCAAGUAGAACGCUGAAGGAGGAGCUUGCUCUUCUGGAUGAGUUGUGAACGGGUGAGUAACGCGUAGGUAACCUGCCUGGUAGCGGGGGAUAACUAUUGGAAACGAUAGCUAAUACCGCAUGACAACAGUUAUUGCAUGAUAACUGUUUAAAAGGGGCAACUGCUCCACUACCAGAUGGACCUGCGUUGUAUUAGCUAGUUGGUGAGGUAACGGCUCACUAAGGCGACGAUACAUAGCCGACCUGAGAGGGUGAUCGGCCACACUGGGACUGAGACACGGCCCAGACUCCUACGGGAGGCAGCAGUAGGGAAUCUUCGGCAAUGGACGGAAGUCUGACCGAGCAACGCCGCGUGAGUGAAGAAGGUUUUCGGAUCGUAAAGCUCUGUUGUAAGAGAAGAACGAGUGUGAGAGUGGAAAGUUCACACUGUGACGGUAUCUUACCAGAAAGGGACGGCUAACUACGUG
rnacentral:rRNA from 1 species